rnacentral:rRNA from 1 species
GACGGAGGGGGCUAGCGUUGUUCGGAAUUACUGGGCGUAAAGGGCGCGUAGGCGGAUUAGUAAGUUGGGAGUGAAAGCCCGGGGCUCAACCUCGGAACUGCUCUCAAAACUGCUAGUCUUGAGUGAAGUAGGGGAUGAUGGAAUUCCUAGUGUAGAGGUGAAAUUCUUAGAUAUUAGGAGGAACACCGGUGGCGAAAGCGGUCAUCUGGACUUCAACUGACGCUGAGGCGCGAAAGCGUGGGGAGCAAACAGGAUUAGAUACCCGGGUAGUCC